CAAUCAGGCCACCUGUGUCCGCCACGGUGCCGCCCCCUAAACUGGCUGUCCCCUUAGGUGGCGUCCCUCUGGAGUCGCGCGGCAGCCCCAGACCUGAUCUGAACAAUGGAGAAGAUACCUGUCCUGGGCCUGGGCACCUGGAAGGCCGCUCCGGGGGAGGUGACAGAGGCGGUGAAAGUGGCCAUUGACGCGGGCUAUCGACACUUGGACUGCGCCUACCUGUACCACAAUGAGAAGGAGGUCGGAGUGGGGAUCCAGUCCAAGGUGGACGAGGGCGUGGUGAGACGGGAGGACCUGUUCAUUGUCAGCAAGCUCUGGUGCACCUGCCAUAAGAAGUCCCUGGUGAAGUCGGCCUGCACCAGGAGCCUGAAGGCCUUGAAGCUGGAGUACCUGGACCUGUACCUCAUACACUGGCCCAUGGGCUUCAAGCCGGGGGAGGUGGACUUGCCUGUGGACCGCAGUGGCAUGAUUGUCGCCAGCAACACGGAUUUCCUGGACACGUGGGAGGCCAUGGAGGACCUGGUCAUCGAAGGCCUGGUGAGAGCCAUCGGGGUGUCCAACUUCAACCACGAGCAGCUGGAGAGACUCCUGAAUAAACCCAACCUGAGGGUCAAGCCAGUGACCAACCAGAUCGAGUGCCACCCAUACCUUACGCAGAAGAAGCUGAUCAGUUUCUGCCAAUCCAGAAACGUGUCCGUGACUGCUUACCGGCCCCUUGGUGGCUCCAGUGAGGGGGUGCCCCUGAUGGAGGACCCCGUGAUCCAGACUAUCGCGCAGAAGCACGGGAAGUCUGCAGCCCAGAUUUUGAUCCGGUUUCAGAUCCAGAGGAAUGUGAUAGUGAUUCCCAAAUCUGUCAACCCAAAGCGGAUUCUUGAGAAUUUCCAGGUGUUUGACUUUGAAUUAUCAGAGCAGGAUAUGACUGACCUCCUCGGCCUGGACAGGAAUCUGCGUUUGUCCGCCUUCCCCAUGUAAAUACGGCUCCUUUUCCUCCUUCCAAGGGGGCGCAGCGAUGUCCAGGGCAGGGCUGUUUCCUGCAGGGGCGUCUCUUAUGUGCACCCAGGUGACUCAAACCUUCUUCUCAGGAUCCUGUCCUCCCCAGAAGGGCCACUUUCGAGAGCUGAAAACCACAAGGAUUAUCCCUUCAAAGCAGAGUACUGAGACCCUGCUGGGCCAGGCAAAGCCUCACCUCUGCCAGGGGCGGGGGCCACAGCUUGAGCGGAGUGGAAGGUUCCGGAGACAUCUGGAGAACUGAGUGAGGUCUGCCAUCGGAGGGGAAGCUUGGAGAGAGUGAGCUGUGAACCCCUUAAAGUCUUAAGGCUCCGUGGGGCACACGGUGUGACGGGCUUCUCACAAACCUGCCGCCUGGCCUGUACUCUCCCACAAGGAUGUUUGAUGGCUCAUAAGGUCACAUUUUAAAAAAGUGUGUUAUGGAAAUAUUUGAUUAUCUAUUGCAUAGCUAAUCUCUCUCUGCUACAAAAACAGUUCUUAUAAACAUUAACAAAAUGAUAGAUUCCCAAUUAAACAAUGAUACUGGAAGAACGCAGUAA